rnacentral:rRNA from 1 species
GGUUAACCGAAUAGGGGAGCCGAAGGGAAACCGAGUCUUAACUGGGCGUUAAGUUGCAGGGUAUAGACCCGAAACCCGGUGAUCUAGCCAUGGGCAGGUUGAAGGUUGGGUAACACUAACUGGAGGACCGAACCGACUAAUGUUGAAAAAUUAGCGGAUGACUUGUGGCUGGGGGUGAAAGGCCAAUCAAACCGGGAGAUAGCUGGUUCUCCCCGAAAGCUAUUUAGGUAGCGCCUCGUGAAUUCAUCUCCGGGGGUAGAGCACUGUUUCGGCAAGGGGGUCAUCCCGACUUACCAACCCGAUGCAAACUGCGAAUACCGGAGAAUGUUAUCACGGGAGACACACGGCGGGUGCUAACGUCCGUCGUGAAGAGGGAAACAACCCAGACCGCCAGCUAAGGUCCCAAAGUCAUGGUUAAGUGGGAAACGAUGUGGGAAGGCCCAGACAGCCAGGAUGUUGGCUUAGAAGCAGCCAUCAUUUAAAGAAAGCGUAAUAGCUCACUGGUCGAGUCGGCCUGCGCGGAAGAUGUAACGGGGCUAAACCAUGCACCGAAGCUGCGGCAGCGACACUGUGUGUUGUUGGGUAGGGGAGCGU